AACGAAUCUUCCGCAAUGGGCGAAAGCCUGACGGAGCAAUGCCGCGUGUGGGAUGAAGCGGCUACGCCGUGUAAACCACUGUCAGGGGGCAGGAACAAUGACCGCCCCCAGAGGAAGAGCCGGCUAACCCUGUGCCAGCAGCCGCGGUAAUACAGGGGGCUCGAGCGUUAGUCGGAAUCACUGGGCUUAAAGGGUGCGUAGGUGGCUCGCCAAGUGCUUUGUGAAAUCCCACAGCUCAACUGUGGAACAGCAGGGCAAACUGGCGAGCUUGAGGCAGGUAGGGGCCGGAAGAACAGUUGGUGGAGCGGUGAAAUGCGUAGAUAUCAACUGGAAUGCCGAUGGGGAAGCCGUCCGGCUGGGCCUGUCCUGACACUGAGGCACGAAAGCGUGGGGAGCAAAC
rnacentral:rRNA from 1 species